GAGUUUGUUCAUGGCUCACGAUGAACGCUAGCUACAGGCUUAACACAUGCAAGUCGAGGGGAAACGAUAUUGGAAGCUUGCUUCCGAUAGGCGUCGACCGGCGCACGGGUGAGUAACGCGUAUCCAACCUGCCCACCACUUGGGGAUAACCUUGCGAAAGUAAGACUAAUACCCAAUGAUAUCUCUAGAAGACAUCUGAAAGAGAUUAAAGAUUUAUCGGUGAUGGAUGGGGAUGCGUCUGAUUAGCUUGUUGGCGGGGUAACGGCCACCAAGGCGACGAUCAGUAGGGGUUCUGAGAGGAAGGUCCCCCANAUUGGAACUGAGACACGGUCCAAACUCCUACGGGAGGCA
rnacentral:rRNA from 1 species